CGCUGGCGGCGUGGAUAAGACAUGCAAGUCGAGCGGGAACUUUCGCUGUAGCAAUACAGUGAAAGUUCUAGCGGCGAACGGGUGCGUAACACGUGGACAAUCUGCCUUAAAGUGGGGGAUAGCUCGGCGAAAGCCGAAUUAAUACCGCAUGUGAUGAGAGACGACAUCGUCUUGAAAUCAAAGCCGGGGCAACCUGGCGCUUUUGAGGAGUCCGCGGCCUAUCAGCUUGUUGGUGAGGUAACGGCUCACCAAGGCUAUGACGGGUAGCUGGUCUGAGAGGACGACCAGUCACACUGGAACUGAGACACGGUCCAGACACCUACGGGUGGCAGCAGUCGAGUAAUUUUUCUCAAGUGGGGAAACCCUGAAGGAGCGACGCCGCGUGGAGGAUGAAGGC
rnacentral:rRNA from 1 species